rnacentral:rRNA from 1 species
UACGAAGGGGGCUAGCGUUGCUCGGAAUCACUGGGCGUAAAGCGCACGUAGGCGGACUCUUAAGUCGGGGGUGAAAUCCUGGAGCUCAACUCCAGAACUGCCUUCGAAACUGGCGAUCUUGAGUCCGGGAGAGGUGAGUGGAACUGCGAGUGUAGAGGUGAAAUUCGUAGAUAUUCGCAAGAACACCAGUGGCGAAGGCGGCUCACUGGCCCGGUACUGACGCUGAGGUGCGAAAGCGUGGGGAGCAAACAGG